rnacentral:tRNA from 1 species
GGGAGACAGCUCAAUGGUUAAGAGCAUUGGCUGCAAUUCUAGAGGACCUGGGUUCGAUUCCCAGCUCCCA